rnacentral:rRNA from 1 species
CCCUUAGAUGUUCUGGGCCGCACGCGCGCUACACUGACGAAUGCAACGAGCUUAUAACCUUGGCCGAAAGGUCUGGGUAAUCUCCAAAUUUCGUCGUGAUGGGGAUAGAUUAUUGCAAUUAUUAAUCUUCAACGAGGAAUGCCUAGUAAGCGCAAGUCAUCAGCUUGCGUUGAUUACGUCCCUGCCCUUUGUACACACCGCCCGUCGCUACUACCGAUUGAACGGUUUAGUGAGGGCAUCGGACUGGUCUCGGCCCGCCCUUCACCGGUGCGGCGCCGCCGGCCGGGAAGACGCUCGAACUUGAUCGUUUAGAGGAAGUAAAAGUCGUAACA